ACUCAGACUGCCAGAGCCGAGAAAUUCCUAUAAACUGUAGAAUCCACAGUCGUAAAAUCACACGUUGAUUAUCAAAAACAAUCAACCAGACAAAGAACUAAACUUUUCUAGCCCUUGAAGAAGAUUGAAUAUAUAAUCGAAACUUCGGGCGUAGAAAACAUGCUUUAGUUCUGACCGCUCUAAAGACUGAAAGCUGAAAAAGUCUCCCAGUACAAACUCCCAGGAGUCGAAAGGAAACCUUUUACUUUGGUUUAUUGAUAGUUCUUAGAAACGCUUCCAGCCUAUUUGAUUGAAAAAUGUAACUUGGGAAGCGCCCAAGGAAGUGCCACCUCCUGAUGACUUCUUGAAACGCGCCUGUAAAAGCCUUUCAGAGCUCUGAAACGGCCCUGAAAACCCCUGAAUCGCUCAUGAAUCCCAUUAAACCCUCUGAAGCUACCAGAAACACGCACGAAAUACCCCUGGAAGCCCCGGGAAACCCCCUGGGAUUCCCUAAAUACCCCAGAAGCCUACUGAGAGCCCUUGAAUUGUUCUUAAAAAUACCGGAGACAUUCUGAAACACUUAGAGCUCCUGAAAUGCCUCUGAAGUCCCCAGAAUGCCCUUGAAACGCCUCUGAAAUCUUCUAAUUUCCCAAAAUUUCUUCCGGACGCUCUACCAGUAUACCUUCCUGGGUUUUUGGUAUUUUCCAAAUAGUUCUACUAUGACAUAAAUCUUGAUGUAGUUGCACAAUGUGCGUUUAAUUCCCAAAUUGAUAGAUAGAUUUAUGGAAAGGCUACCACUUGGUUCUGUAAGCCUUCGCAAAUCUGUCGUUUUAACCACAGAACAAGUUACGAUUCCGCGGAAUGAGACAAUUAGAAUUUGAACGGAUUUGGACGGAAUUUAUUGUUCUUUCAUGAAAAAUAUCAUUUCUAUUUUUCAUACAUUUUUUUUUAUUAUUCCGAAUUAAUCUCCUUAAAAAUCCACACAACAGAUGGAUGAAGCGAAGGAUUUUGGAGACUGUAAACUCCCCACAGGACCAUAGAGCAUGGUAGUGUAGAGAAAGAUGUUCUAGGCCACCCAAGAGCUUCCACGAGUAAAGGCUUUAAUAUCUACGAGCGUAAUCGAUGGAUUGUUGUUACAUUACUGACACGGUGCAACAUCCUACAGGUCCAUUGAGCUUAUUAUUUUAAGCUUAUUACAAGUGAGCAAGAACAGAAUAAUAAAAUGCACUGUUGUUUGAAACUUGAUUCGUGAGAUUUGUGCGUUUGAAGUUCGAAUGCACUGUUGAAGCGGGAUUUCAUGACGUUUGUUCUCAACACGCUCCUUUUUCAGUCAAAAUCGGAUCCCUUAACGAGAACGUCAAAAAAUGAUACCGAUAUUGACCAUGCAUCGGAAGCCUAGUCCUUUCUGUUUCAAACCAGUGUACACCGAAUAAAAGAUUAGGAAUACUAACCCAUGUUUCCUUGUUUCAAGAUCCAUCUCGGCCACACCUAAUACCGAGACCUUUCACUUUCAACAAGGUGUGAAAUGUAAUAAGGACCAAAGUAUUUCCUUUGAUUACCCGAGCAGAAGAAAAUAGCAGCAAAAUAAUAAAAUAUGUUAUUUUGGCAAAAUAACUGAGUGACGGCAAAAGUUAUUUUCAUGUUAUUGACAUAACAUAUCAUGUUUUAAACUUGUCUGUCAUAAGCGGCAAUGUAACAAAAAUCAUAACAAAAAAAUGUUCCUGGAAGACCAGUUAAAUAACACGUUUUGUUAGUUUAAUAACAACUUAAUAAUAGCGAAAAAAAAACUUAAGAAUAGCGAAAAUGCUAUUAAUCAUCAAAUAUUUGUGUAGUCUCAAUAACCCAUUAAUAACUGGACUUGUGCUACAACAAAACAUGUUAUUGAAAUGCUAUUUAAAGAAAAUAUUCCAAUAGCCUGAUCAUAACAAAAUUAAAUUGCCCAACAAAACACGUUAUGGAACGGUAAUGCUUCAAUAAGUUAAUAAUACCAAAGCAAGAUAUUAAAACAGGUAUUGAGAUUCCGUUGUUAUUACUCUGAUAUUCUCCUCUGCUCGGGUACUAAAACAUGCUGUUCCACGAGUUGGAAGCAGUUAGGACUAGGGUUCGAUUUGGUAGAUUUUUCUUCGCAGCGCAACCCGAAAAGGUGAUCUACCCACGCUACGGGAUCCGUUAAAGAUCGAGCAUAUUUUAAACCCCCUCAACCAUUCAUCCCUCAGCACGAGUCGUCUGACACCUUGGAUUGGGGUUACCUGUUUGGUGGACUUUUACCCCCGGAACAGGUGGUCCGUAGUGCUAUUCUAUGGAGUAUAGUUCUGUAAAGCAAUAAUUUUCAAACAUCUAGGACCUCCAAUAACUUCCGCGAGUAAAAUCAUGAAAAUACAUAAUCAAUGGAUUCUUGCUACAUUACUGGUACGAUGUAACAAUCUUUGGAUCUAUGGAGCUUUGUUCUGUGACAAACUUAUUUCCAAAGAUGUUCUAGGUCCCCUUAAAACUUUCGUGAAUUAAGGCCUUAAGAUCCAAAGAUAUGCUUCCGCGAGUUUAGGCCUUAAGAUCCACAAGCAUAAUCAAUGGGUUGUUCUUAUAUGACUGAUACGGUGUAACAUUCUAAGGUUCAUGAAUCAUGGUUCUAUAGAGAACAACUUUCCAAAGAUGAUCUAGGUCCUCCAAGAUCUCCCAAGAGUUAAGGUCUUAAGAUCUACAAGCGUAAUCAAUGGAUUGUUCGAACGAGUGUAAUCAACUUUGUACCUCUAGGUUAAACUUAUUCGAAGAGGGUAUUCUGCUUUUAGAGAGUUCGCAAAGCCAGUACAAGAUUGUUGUUUCAUUACUGAUACACUCCCGUGCAAAAGUUUGGGGUCACCCCCUCAAAAACAUGGAAAUGUUUUUCAGUCAUAUCUCAGUCAUCUUUCAUUUAAUCCAGUCGUUCUCAGACUCUAUCGAAAGAUAAAGAGUUGGAUUUGAUUCGUAGGUACUUUCCACAAAUUUUAUAUGAAAUUUUUAGUAUAAAAAGUUUACCUAAACUUACAUGUUUUGCCUAAAUCUGUACGAAAAAUUGUUUUGCGUGUAAUUCAAAAUUGGGUCGACCAAAUUUUAAAAAUAAAGUUGCAUUAGAACCCUAUUUCUAUCCUCUUUUAGAGCCAUUCACUAGAUUUUAGCGGAAAAAUUCAUAAUAUAAUUUAAAUUAUCGAGUUAGGUUUACAAGUCACCGUGCAAAAGUUUGGGGUCACCCCUUAAGAUGCUGCAUCGUGCAAAAGUUUGGGGUCACCUUCCAAAUGAAGUCUGAGACGGAUUUUUGUUCAAAUCGUCAUUUAUUUUUGGUGCAACUUCAAUUCUUUCUUUGAUAGUUGAAUGACAAGACACAGAAAUGGUUAUGAAAUGUUCAUAAAUUAAGUUCUCGACUAAGUUAAGGCGGAAAAUGGUAUAUAAAUCCAUACUAAAUCAACUAAGUACAGUUAAAUAGGGCAGAAUUCACGAAUUAGUCAUUUUUAUCUCACUUCUAUCCUUUUUCGCACUUUAUAUAACGAACUUAGCUGAUUUAAUAUGGAUUCUACAUACUAUUUUCUACCUUAACUUAGUCUAGAACUUAGUUUAUGAACAUUUCAUAACCAUUUCUGUGUCUUGCCAUUCAACUAUCAUAGAAGGAAUUGGAGUUGCACCAAAAAAAAAUACGAUUUGAAUAAAAAUCCGACUCAGACUUCAUUUGAAGGGUGACCCCAAACUUUUGCACGAUGCAGCAUACUAAGGGGUGACCCCAAACUUUUGCACGGUGAUUUGUAAACCUAACACGAUAAUUUAAAUUAUGUUAUGAUUUUUUUCGCUAAAAUCUAAUGAAUGGCUCUCAAAGAGGAUGGAAAUAGGGCCCUAAUGCAACUUUAAUUUCAAAAUUUGGACGACCCAAUUUUGAAUUACACGCAAAACAAUUUUUCGUACAGAUUUAGGAAAAACAUGUAAGUUUAGGUAAACUUUUUGUACUAAAAAUUUCAUAUGCAAUAUGUGAAAAGUACCUACGAAUCAAAUCCUGCUCUUUAUCUUUCGAUAGAGUCUAAGAACGAGUGGAUUAAAUGAAAGAUGACUGAGAUAUGACCGAAAAACAUUUCCAUGUUUUUGAGGGGGUGACCCCAAACUUUUGCACGGGAGUGUACGUGUUGUUAUCCUCCAGAUCCAUGAACCAUUUUUCUCUAAGGAACUCAUAUCCAAAGAUGUUCUAGGCUCUCCGAGAACUUCCACCAAAGAAGAACUGAAGAUCAACUAGCAUCAUCAAUGAUUUGUUGUCACAUUACUGAUGCAGUGUAACGUCCUACAGGUUCAAGGAGCAUAGUUCUGUUGAUAAAUAAUUGCCAAAGAUGUUCUAGGUCCUCCAAGAACUUCUGCUAGUAAAGGCCCCAAGAUCUAAGUACAAACGUAAUCAAUUGAUUGUUCUUACAUUAAUGAUAUGUUGCAACAUUCUACAGGUCCAUGGAGCACUGUGCUGCAAAGAACUUAUCUCCAAAGAAAUUCUAGGUCUUCCAAAAGCUUCCGUGAUUAAGGGUCUGAAGAUCAACAAUGGUUUGUUGUCACAUUACUGAUGCAGUGUAACGUCCUUCAGAUUCAUGGAGCAUAGUUCUAUUCACUAACAAUUUCCAAAGAUAUUCUAGUUUCUCCAAGUACUUACACGAGUAAAGGCCUAAAGAUCUACAAGCGUAAUCAAUGGAAUGUUUUUACAUUACUUACACGGUGCAAGUCAUACAGGUCCAUGGAGCAUUGCGCUGAAGGUAACAAAUCUCCAAAUACAUACAAACCAUGGAAUUCCAAGUAGAUUUAAACAUGCAAACUUCAAUCUUUCGGGGAUACUAGAACUUUGAAUGGUGGGAGUUCGGCUUUGCAGUCUAAAGUUCUCUAGAACGACCGUUAAGGAUUCGUCCCUACGUUUCGGCAAUUGUUGGUGCCUUCUUCAGGGGAAAAAUCAUGAAUAUCGUUCACCGGGACGAAUCCUAAACGUUCGUUCUAGAGAACUUUAGACUGCAAAACCGAACUCCCACCAAUCGUUACAUCCAACCAGUCGAACCCUCGAACAUCCAAAACUAGAACUAUGUUUCUAGGAUCCAGGCUCCCGUCGUUCAUUCUCUACAAAUUUAUUUCAAGAUUAGUCUAGUAAGAGUAAGAGUGAUUUUCCAGGGAGCUCAAUCUCGGAAUUCUUUCCGACAUUCUCUUUAUAGUUUUUUUGAAAUGUCUUCAGAAUAAAAGAUGUUUAGAUUCCACACAUUUCUUGAACGAAUUUCUGGAAAAGGGAAAUCUACAAGGAACAAUUGGAGGAAACUCGAAAGAAACUCCAGGUUAAAUUUCUCACAAAGUUGAUGGAGGAAUUUCUUAAGAAAUUAUUAGAUGAAUUCUUGAAAGAACUCCUGUAGAAACUGCAUAAAGAGUUCCUAGAGAAAUUCUUUAGAAAAUGCCACAAAAAACUCAUGGAAGAAUUUUGUAAUUAACUCUUUGAUUUACAUCCCACCAGUAUUAGGAACAAUUUCAGCAUGAAAUUCCGGAAGGAUCGACAACAAUACCAGAAAAACUUCUGGAGGAAUCCAGAGAAAAGUUCUUUGAGGAAUUCUGGAUGGAAUUCCUGAAACAAAAAUCGGUAGCAGUUUCUGAUAUAAUCCCGGAAGAAGUUUCCGUAGGAAUCCAAGACGGAGUUCCCGAAAGAAUCCUGGAAGUAGUUCCUGGGAAUCCUCGGAAGAGGUUCUUGGAAAAAUCUUGGAGAAGGUGUUCCUUGAGCAAUUCCAAAAGGAAUGAAUCCAGAAAAGCGUUCCUGCAGCAAUCCCGGAAGAUAUUCCUGAAAGAAUCCAGGAAGAGGUUCUUUGAGGAAUAUCGGAAGCGUUCCCGUAUGAAUUACAAAAGGAGUUUCCGAAAGAAUCCCGGUAGAUGUUCAGGGAGGUAUUCCAGGAGGAAUUCCCGUAGGAGUUCCGAAAAAAACUCAAGUGAGAAUUCUAGCAGGAGUUCUUAAAGCAAUUCUGGUAUCGGCUCCUGAAUGAAUUUCGGAAGAAGUUACUCAAUGAAUUUUGGAAACAGUUCCAUAAUGAAAUGAAUCUCAGAAAUUUUGCAGAAAUUCCUGAAUAAACCCAUAAGGAACUCCUGGAAAAAUCUGGCAAGGAAUUCACGGCGUGCAGUGAACUAUACUGCCGUAAUUCUGCAAGGUGGCGUAAGCGACAUUCCAGUUUUCAAGGUUUUUUGGUAUAUAUCUGGAGACAUAAAAGAAAUGUGGUAAAUCUGCUACAUAAAAUGCAACUAUGGAAGAAAAGUUUGAGGAUGACCAAGUGUUUUCAGCAUAAUUACCAAAAAUGUGUCAAAAUUGUCAAUGUCGCUUACGUCACUUUGCAGAAUUACGGCCAGUGUUGGUAAAAACUCAAAUUCUCAAAUCUCAUGGUCGAGUUGUUUCACGCGCGAUUUUGGACUCGCCAAACUCACCGCCAAACAAAUCAUGAAUGAGUUGACUCAUGAUUUCACUCAUUGCUUUAUAUCUUGGUGUUCUUAUUAUUUACAUCGAAGUUUUAAGGAUUAUAUGAUAGAACAAAAGCAAAUCUAGCAUACAAUAACAUUGAUUGCUGUUCAAAUUGAUUAGGAUUCGUUUUACAAGCGAACGAGAUUUCGGCGCUUGACUCGUGAGAGCGAGAUUUUGCAUGAAAAUCUCGCGCGUGAGAAAAUGAUUCAGAAUCGCGUGUGAGUUUGCUCACCCAGGAGCGGUUCAUGAGUGCGGUUUGAGUGUGAUUUUACCAACACUGAUUACGGCAGUAAUCUAAGGGCGGGACAGCUCCUAAUACCUCUGCUAAUACUCGCUAAUAAAUAUAAGAUACCUAAUCUUCAACCAAAUUUGGAACGAAAUUUGUGUAGUAUGUCAUGACUUUUCCAAAUACAAAACCAAAUUGACAGUAACGAAUGUUGUAACUUGAGGCACCAGUCUAGAUACCAGUACGAUUUGCUUUUCAUUUAAAUUACAUAGAUUUAGCAUUUCUACAAUACAUACGGAUCAAUACGGGCUCAGAGAAGUGUACUACAGUGAGCAUCCUUACCAAGUACAUUACAAAACCUUCACCCGAUCCAGAAGCUUUAAGAAUGGCUCCUGUACUAGUGCCAGAUUUCUGUAAUACAAUACGAAUGUAAAUUGCCCAGCUGGAUAAAUACAAUGAUUCCAAGAAAACAAUUGGCUUCUUUAACGGUGUUGAGAUAAUUCGAUAUUCUGAAUCUGCAUGUCAAACUUAGCCGAAAUCCAAAUUUUCAUAAAUUUUUGAGCCCGGGAACCUAUUUAAAAAUCAAUUUGAAGUUUAUAUGGGAGCGAUUUGUCGAAUCACCCCUCGUCGCAGUUUGUACUGGGCGGAGCUGUCAAACAGUUGCCCACCUGUCAAAAGGUGAUUUCAAAAAAUCUCUUUGAAAUUGAUUUUAGGUAUCAAAACAAAGUUCUAAAAAUUUGAAAAAAAUCAUAGUGACUCAGAAAAAGGUGCUCUUUCGUAUAAAAUCAAAAAAUCAAUACAUUUUUCGAAAUUUAGAAACCCAGCAAACACUGCAAAUCUCAGAACCUCCCGUUUCUCCCAGGCGCACUUCCACGCACACACGCAAACUUGUUCUAAUAACACAACCAGGAGGAACGGAAGAAACCGAAGUCCGCAACCGCCGCACCGCUCGAGCGAUCCCUUGAGGGAUACCAUGAUGUGGUGAUCUAGAAAUUCCCAGUUCAAUCCAGUCAUACUCAUACUAGUUUGUUUUAAAUUCACUAUUACUUGUAUCAAAUUGUCAAAAUUUCUGCCAUCUGUUUGCGAUUGCGAUGCCUGACAGUUGUCCGUUGUUGUACCGAGCAUUGUACAAUACAUGUCAACACAUGAGUUUUUUUUAUCAUGGCUUGCUUGUUGAAAAUUCUCUCCAAGGCGGUAUAUUUCAGGAUUAGUAUUUCAUUUCCAAAUACCGCUAUUACUACUAUGUCCAUAAAAUUUAGAGGAUGGGUCAAUAUUUCUUUCAGAUUGUUUCCUAGUGGAAAAUGUUUUCCAUUUUUUCAGAAAUCAUUAUAUUCAAUAUUGAUAGAACAUUUCGUUUCCAUUUCGUAAACAAAAAUGAACAAUAAGGCCAUAUACUGUAUUUUUUUUCUUCAGAAAACGUUUCAUACUAAAUAUUUUCUCCACAAAUGUUCGCUGCGUUUUUUUUUUGCGGAAAAUGAAAUUAAACCAAAGCGUGAACAAAUGGCAUAUUUCACUGUAGGGUAAAAAUCUACUUCGUUAUAUGCUCUAAUUCCCGUCAUAUCAGACGGGAAACAGCCAAUAAUUACAGAUAUUCCAAUUUACCAUUGCCAAUGGCUCAUCACAUGGAAGCGAAAAGAUGUAGAUUAUCAAUAACCAUCCCGAAUUGCACUGGAAAUCGAAUAAUUACGCGAAAUUUCACGUUUCACUCCAAUUACUAGUUGAAAAUUUGUCUGCCUUUGCAUAAGACGAAGGCAACCGCACCAAAGCAGCAGCUAGUCAAGGUAUUCUUCAUCACCAUGUUCAUCACCGUUCAAUAUUCACUUCGUCAGAUUCACUUGUUGACCCAACCAUCAAUUUACACCCCACAUAAGCUCUGUAGCACUUCAAUGGUGGAUUUCACUGCUGCAGAAUGUAACAAAAACCGUUCAAUUAAUUAUAUAAACCACUUUUUUUAAUUCGGUAAAAUGUAAACAACAAGUUGUCUUUGUCUAGGGUGGAUGCAAGCAAAUGUGUGCGUGGGUUUUCUGAAUACGAAACAUCAUAUUUUACAACCAUAGAGAAAGAUUUCUUCAUUCCAUUGUGAUGGCAUAUUAUGAUCUGGUGGGCAAAAAUAUUACCUGAAAUAAUUUGAUCGAUAUUCUAAAGCUACACCCCUCUCAAUUUAAAAGCUUACUGCUCAAAAGUGUGUUCAAAGACAUGAUUUGAUUUGAAUUGCGAAGAGUUUGACCGACUAUUCGAGUAACACCACGGUAAAAUCAUAAUUUUAGGACACGCUAUGUACCAUGGUGUCACGUAGAAGCUAUGACGGAAUUGAAUUCAGGUUGUUCCCAAAAUAGACGUGGACUAGAAGGAAUCGAAUUCAAGAAACAAUUAUUCAAUCUUUAUUUUAAGGAAAUUAUGGUUACGGAUGUGAAAGCUAAUUUAUAAAUUAGUAAUGAUACCAAAUUGGCAGUGGUAUUGGUCAGUGCUUAGGUAGACGGGAAUUAAAUAAAAACCCCAUCUAAAUGACGGACGUUAAUCCAAAACACUCCAAAUGUCGAGUCGAGCACUUGGCACUGAAGAAGUCUGUAAGUCACAGACGAAAUAGGCCUAUCUGUCCGAAGAUAAGCACAGUAGUAGAAUUAAAAGGAAUUUGCUCGUCCUUUCUAGUUUUUCUUUAAAAGAGAUAUUCAUUUUUUAUUUUCUUUUGCAAAAGUGAAGUAUUAGUGAAGUGUUUUUAAAUUAAACUAGAGUCUGAAGAAACUCCAAAUGUACCGCAUACCCUUAUCCCAUCGAGAUUGAUGCAAGGAGAAAAAAGUGUGACGGCGCUUCGGCAAAUCCAUAAAUUCCGAGGUGAACUUCCCCGCACAACAGCCAAGGGUCCAAAAAUUAAUGCAACUCCCUCCCAACCGUAGUAAAAGCGAACUUCACGUCACGCGGAGAAAUUCGUCCGAUACGCGAGGAAAAAGUGACCCACUACUGGCUGGCGCUGGCGCUGGUGGAAAUUGAUUGACAAACUUGAACCUUAGCUGCGCGAGUUCAUUAAAUUCGCAUUCAUCGGUUUGUUGGAACUGUAACGCGAAGAUAACAAACCGCGUGUGGGUUUGGCGAAAAGUUUUUCACCCACUUGUGGACGACUGACAGCUGCUGUGCGCAGCUGAUAUGAAACGUCGUCGCGGAAGUGCUCCUACCUAUUGUGUGUGUGAUGCAUCGAUUUGCCCGCGAUUACAGGCUGAUGAUCGAACAACUUUUACCUUUCGGCACCACCGCCCGGUGGUGGCCAAUUGGUUUUCGUGAACUUUAACGCGGUGGGGUGAGGGUUUUUUCCUUCCUCUAUCAAGUUGCAUUAGUGAAGACAAGUGGUGCAUUAACCAGCUGGAGCAAUGUAAGAAGUGGGCAUUAGGUGAUGAUGGAUUUGCACCACCCAUUUGAAGCUUUGAUGCUUUUUUUUCAAUUUCCGACAUACUUUCAGGCGCAUUUGAAGCAGUGAAGUUGUAAAAAAGUGAUCUGUUGAGUGGACAAUGACAAAAAAAAAACAAUCUCAGAUCCAUGGUAUAAUUGCUGCGGAUGUCUUAGUAACAUUUCAAAUAAGGUUUUUGCUGCAUUGCUAAAGAUGUUUAAUGGUUACAGUAUUAGUGAAGAUUAUCUAAAAUAGAUUUUAAUCGAAUUUUCGAAGGAUUCGAAGGAAUUCAGGAAAGAUCCUUUAGUAUAAUAGUGAAAUUCUUGAUGAACUUUGCGGAGCAAUUUCUGAACGAAUCAUAGGAAAGAAAAAUGUUUGAAGAAACCAUUGGAGGAAUUCCUGAAGAAACCUAGAAGGAAUUUCUGAAGGAAUGUUUGUACUUAUAAAUGAACGAAUCCUUGGAAGAAUAUCUGAAACUAUCCAUAGAGGAAUUUGUAAAGGAAUCCUUCGAGAAAUUCUGAAUUUCUGAAGAAAUUCUGGAUUUCUGAAGAAAUCCUUAUAGAAAUUGGUUAGGCCGAUGCAAAUAUUUAAUUUGUUUUAUGUCACCCCCCCCCCCCCCUUCAAAAAUCCCAAAAAAUUGAAAGGGUGCAAAAACACAGGCGGCCCAUGACUCUAUUUUCAAUAGUCAAUAUGUUUUCAAGCAACAAUUUUUCAAUAGUUAACAUUUUUCAAUAGUUUUUCCCAUUUUUAUUCGUUGGCUCCUUAUUUAUUUUUGUUCCCCCCUCAUAGGGGUCGUUCAAAUAUGACGUCCAUCAUUUAGGGGGGAGGGAGGGGUCUGAGAAAGUGUGACACUCCAUGUAUUAGGUAUACGAAAAAGCGUGACAAAGGGGAGAAGGGGGGGUCUACAAAUCCUGAAAAAUGAUGGACGUCAUAUUUGAAUCGGCCCAUACCCGAUGAGUUUUCCCGGAUAACUCAGGUGAUUUUUUUUUUGUUUUUCCCUGAAACUACUUACUUUGAAAAAUCAUAGCUCAAGAACGAAAAAAUCUGAAAAAAUCGAUUCGAUGUACCGGGUUUGGGUUAUAUUUAUAUUUGAUCAAUUCCGGCGGGACAUCCGGAACCGGUUGUGGAACACUAGGGUAAUUCUCGCUGAGACCGGCCCACUAUUUACACCUUGUCUUCAAAAAUGUUUAAGGUGCCGGUUUUCUGAAAGCCCUCGCUAAAAAAGUAAGAAAAAUGCAUUUGGUUACUCAAAUUGAUGGACCCCUCGUUAGUUAGAGCCACAACAAUUUUUGCAGACCGCUCGAUUUUGGUCAAAUGGUGGCUCAUUUAAACCGUUAUAACUCGAAAGUUUCUCCAAACAACACCUCAAAACGAAUUGUUGUUGAAAAGAGGAAAGCUAGAGCUACUAUUUACAAUAAUAAAAAGUUGGGUCGGCCAUAUUGAUUUUGGCCGCCAUCUUGGAUUUUUAUACCAAAACAUUUUUUUCACCAUGAGGGCAACCACCGAUUUUCAAAAUUUUCGAAUCAAUUGAAAGCUGAGGCAUUUAUACACAACAUAUCAAAAAAUUAGAGAUGUCUUUUUUACCUAUCAAAAGCAAUCUGCAGUUUUGUAAAUUGAGCCACGUUUUCUCCAUACAUUUCCAUGCGCACCGGCAACGACAUGCAACAGCAUCCGAGUUUACGCCUGCAUACAGGCUUCCCAAAAGUACCGCAUCAUGAUAGCAUUUUGAUGGCUGUCACACUCUUAUUCCCAUGACAGCCUUGUGAAUGCAUGGUUCAUGACAGCCCACAGAAAAAAACUCAUGCGACCUACAACAUCACUGUCGGGAACUGCUCACAUCGUCUGCUUUCGCUGUGCGUUCGUUCGCCGAUGACAACCUCGGCUCUCACCCAAACCGUCUCUCGUUGGCUGGAAACGAAGUGACGAAAAUCGCUGCGCUCGGUCCGAGCCUUUUACUUCUGUUGAACGUGUCGAGUAUCGUGGCAUAUCCCACGCUCAAAAUUAUCAACGCGUUUCAUGUAUUAUGUAUUUUUUCAAAUAGAGAAUAUGUACCUGUAAGUCUUAUUAUGGUAGAGUAUUUUGCAUAGCAUUAUUUUUUAUUGGCAUGAGAAAUGCACUACCAUGUUUUCAAUAUAAAAAAAGUUGAAUCUCACAUCAGUGGUAAAUUUUAGCCAGAUUACAAUUUUGACAAACGCUGACACAAACUUCUUUUCGCCCCUGGGGGUAUCUUGUGAAAGGCAUAUCAUGUUUGUAAAAAAAUAUUUAUUGAGCACAUAUUUUGUGAAUAACUUUUAGCGUUAAGCCAUGUGCUCCCGUGACAGCCUUUAUGCGAAAGCCGGCUUGGUUAGCCGAAGAUUGUCAUCGCCAUGCGGCCAACAAUACUCACGACGUUUCCCACUCGGCUCAAUACGACUCGAGUAUGCAACUGUCUGGCAAGCAGCCGAAGCAGCGGCUGUUUCAAUAGGGUGGGGCGGGGCAAGAUGGGUCACGGGGCAAGAUGGGUCAGUGCCAUUUUCGGGCGCAUUACUCAUGUUUUGAUUAUGUGAAUAAUUUUGUUAGAUGACCAGCAUGAAUAUACAAAAGUUUGGGGCAUUGAUUGAAAAAUUAUUCACUCUCAUUGGAAAUACAAAAUAAAAUGUUUUUUUUGCCAUUUUUCUUAUGCGAUACAUUCCAUAUAUUCUCCAUAUAAACGGCCGCGGGGCAAGAUGGGUCACCUCCAAUUUUGAACGUAUUUUUGGAGCAUUCAAAAGUUAUUUAUUUUUUAUUACAAGACUAUCUCAUAAAUGACUUCAAUCAAGCGGAAUAAACGCUCAAAAUUAUAACAUAAAAUUAUGAUAAUUUUUUAGUAAAAACAUCGAUUUUCAAGUCGCCUCAGGACCACUCAAAUCGUAAAGUUUUUUAUAUUCCAAAUAAAUU